AUUGAACGCUGGCGGCAGGCCUAACACAUGCAAGUCGAGCGGAUGAAGGGAGCUUGCUCCUGGAUUCAGCGGCGGACGGGUGAGUAAUGCCUAGGAAUCUGCCUGGUAGUGGGGGAUAACGUCCGGACACGGGCGCUAAUACCGCAUACGUCCUGAGUGAGAAAGUGGGGGUUCUUCGGACCUCACGCUAUCAGAUGAGCCUAGGUCGGAUUAGCUAGUUGGUGGGGUAAAGGCCUACCAAGGCGACGAUCCGUAACUGGUCUGAGAGGAUGAUCAGUCACACUGGAACUGAGACACGGUCCAGACUCCUACGGGAGGCAGCAGUGGGGAAUAUUGGACAAUGGGCGAAAGCCUGAUCCAGCCAUGCCGCGUGUGUGAAGAAGGUCUUCGGAUUGUAAAGCACUGUAAGUUGGGAGGAAGGGAAGUAAGUUAAUACCUUGCUGUUUUGACGUUACCAACAGAAUAAGCACCGGCUAACUUCGUG
rnacentral:rRNA from 1 species